CUACGGGGUGCUCCAGUCGAGAAUAUUGGUCAAUGGGCGCAAGCCUGAACCAGCGACGUCGCGUGCAGGAUGACGGCCUUCGGGUUGUAAACUGCUUUUCUAAAGGAAUAAUCCGCCAACUGGCGGAUGAAGGUACUUUAGGAAUAAGCGGAGCCUGAUUCUGUGCCAGCAGGCGCGGUAAUUCAGAAUCCGCAAGCGUUAUCCGGAUUUAUUGGGCGUAAAGGGUCCGUAGGCGGCCUGUAAAGUUUUUUGUUAAAUAUCUGGGGCUUAACCUUGGAAAUGCAAAAAAAACUAACAGGCUAGAGGGCGUUAGAGGCUGAUAGAACGGUCGGUGUAGGGGUGAAAUCCGUUGAUAUCGACCGGAAUACCAAAAGCGAAGGCAUUCAGCUGGGGCGACCCUGACGCUGAGGGACGAAAGCGUGGGUAUCGAACGGGAUUAGAUACCCCUGUAGUC
rnacentral:rRNA from 1 species